GGUGAACGCUAGCGGCAGGCCUAAUACAUGCAAGUCGAACGGUGUCUUCGGACAUAGUGGCGCACGGGUGCGUAACACGUAUGCAACCUACCUUACAUUGGGGGAUAGCCUUUCGAAAGGGAGAUUAAUACCGCAUAAGACAGUAGCUGGGCAUCCAGCAGCUGUUAAAGAUUUAUCGAUGUAAGCUGGGCAUGCGUCCAAUUAGCUAGUUGGUGAGGUAACGGCUCACCAAGGCAAUGAUUGGUAGGGGAACUGAGAGGUCAAUCCCCCACCCUGGCACUGAGAUACGGGCCAGACUCCUACGGGAGGCAGCAGUAGGGAAUAUUGGGCAAUGGACGCAAGUCUGACCCAGCCAUGCCGCGCGCAGGAUGAAGGCGUUAUGCGUUGUAAACUGCUUUUAUACAGGAAGAAACGACUCUUGCGAGAGGCAUUGACGGUACUGUAUGAAUAAGCACCGGCUAACUCCGUGCCAGCAGCCGCGGUAACAC
rnacentral:rRNA from 1 species